rnacentral:rRNA from 1 species
UACAUGUGGGGCAAGCGUUGUUCGGAAUUACUGGGCAUAAAGGGUGCGUAGGCGGCUUGUUAGGUCACUGGUGAAAGUUUUCGGCCCAACCGGAAAAUUGCCUGUGAUACCGGCGAGCUUGAGUGCGUGAGGGGUGGGGGGAACGAGCAGUGUAGCGGUGAAAUGCGUAGAUAUUGCUCGGAAGGCCGGAGCCGAAGGGGCCC